UACGUAGGGGGCAAGCGUUGUCCGGAAUCAUUGGGCGUAAAGAGCGUGUAGGCGGCUCGGUAAGUCCGCUCUGAAAGCCCGGGGCUCAACCCCGGGAGGCGGGCGGAUACUGUCGGGCUAGAGUCCGGAAGAGGCGAGUGGAAUUCCUGGUGUAGCGGUGGAAUGCGCAGAUAUCAGGAGGAACACCGAUGGCGAAGGCAGAUCUCUGGGCCGUAACUGACGCUGAGGAGCGAAAGCAUGGGGAGCGAACAGG
rnacentral:rRNA from 1 species